rnacentral:rRNA from 1 species
ACUCGGUGAGCUACUUCGAGACAGUCUUAAGAACGUACCCGUCUCUGUCGCAAAAGAGUGGGAAGAUCUCCAAGUAGGGGCAACAAACCUACCGCACCCAGAGAUAGCUGGUUACUCAAGAAAAGAAUUUAAGUUCAACCUAAAGUUUCUCGAUUAUACAAAAUAAAAACUUUAGAGCCACUCAAAUAAGGCACAGCUUAUUUGAAACAGGAUUCAACCUACACCAUCGGGUAAUUAUACUAAACAAGUAAUAAGUGGGCCUAAAAGCAGCCACCUACAAAAAGCGUUAAAGCUUAAUACCAAUUUUUACCUAAUAUCUUUACUCCCCUAGAACCCCUCACUAAUAUUGAGUAACUCCAUAAACUUAUGGAAGCUAUUAUGCUAGAACUAGUAACAAGAAAUAGAUUUUCUCCUAAAAUGUAAGCCUAAGCCACAAUAGACAAACUACUGGCAAUUAACGUAAAUGAAGACAUUAUAGUAACCUCAACAAGAAAACCCU